GUUCUGCUGAAGAGUCCCAAACCAGGACGAAAUAGCUGUCCAAUAC
rnacentral:hammerhead_ribozyme from 1 species